GAUGAAGAACGUAGCGAAAUGCGAUAAGUAAUGCGAAUUGCAGAAUUCCAGUGAGUCAUCGAAUCUUUGAACGCACAUUGCGCCCUUUGGUAUUCCGAAGGGCAUGCCUGUUCGAGCGUCAUUAUCACCCCUCAAGCCCUCGGCUUGGUGUUGGAAGGUUUGGUGGAGGCCCCCUCGGGGGCUCCUGCCCCUCCCAAAGACAAUGACGGCGGCCUCGUUGGACCCCCGGUACACUGAGUUCUUCACGGGACACGUAUCGGACACAUGGGUUUACGGGACACGGUCUGCCUCCCCUCAGGGAGAAUCUUUCUAAGGUUGACCUCGGAUCAGGUAGGGAUACCCGCUGAACUUAAGCAUAUCAAUAAGCGGAGGA
rnacentral:misc_RNA from 1 species